rnacentral:ribozyme from 1 species
UGAAAAGAACGAAACAAAUACGCGAAGAAGACGAGGAACCAAUCUGAUGACGAUGAUGAUGACAUACACGUGUUGUGAUGAGUCGUAAUGAUGAUUACACUAUUUAUUUAAUUUUAUUUAUUUCCUUCUCUCUCUCU